rnacentral:rRNA from 1 species
CAGCAGCCGCGGUAAUACCGGCGGCCCGAGUGGCGGCUACUCUUUUUGGGCCUAAAGCGUCCGUAGCCGGGCUGGUAAGUCCUCCGGGAAAUCUGGUCGCUUAACGAUCAGACUUCCGGAGGAUACUGCUGGCCUAGGGACCGGGAGAGGCCGAGGGUAUUCCCGGGGUAGGGGUGAAAUCCUGUAAUCCCGGGAGGACCACCUGUGGCGAAGGCGCUCGGCUGGAACGGGUCCGACGGUGAGGGACGAAGGCCAGGGGAGCGAACCGGAUUAGAUACCCGGGUAGUCCUGGCGGUAAACGAUGCGGACUAGGUGUCGGGCAAGCUAAGGGCUUGUCCGGUGCCGCAGGGAAGCCGUUAAGUCCGCCGCCUGGGGAGUACGGCCGCAAGGCUGAAACUUAAAGGAAUUGGCGGG